rnacentral:rRNA from 1 species
UGACAGACAUGGGGACAAUCCGCAGGAAAGACCUGGUACUAGCGUAUCAGGAAUCCUCAGAGACUUUAUGUUUGGGAGUACUUUAUGAAAUUAGAAGCACAGUGGAUUGUUGGCUUUGUUGAUGGUGAAGGCUGUUUUAAUAUCAGCAUUAACAAGAACGACACUAUGACCACAGGAUUUCAGGUGUUACCUGAAUUCACCGUAGUACAACACGAACAGGAUGUUAAGGUGCUGCAUGCACUGAAAGCAUUCUUCAAAUGUGGGGUAGUACGGGUUAACCGUAAAGACAAGACAUCCACCCGGAUGGCUUAUCGGGUCAGAAGUAUUAAACAUCUGCUGGAUAUAAUUUCGCCUUUCUUUCUUGAUCAUCAACUAAAAACACAGAAACACGUGGAAUUCAGAAAAUUCCGCAGGGUGUUACUAAUGAUGGACAAGGGUAAACAUUUGACGAAAGAAGGUGUUGAAGAAAUUCGAGACGUUUGCAAUCAAAUGAACCGAAAAAAGAUGGGGUAGUACUCAAGAGAAAGUCCGACUUUUCUGGAAACAGAUAAGAUUAUUCGAGCGAAAUUCCUUGUCGGGUAAGUUCCGACCUGCACGAAUGGCGUAACGAUGGCCACACUGUCUCCACCAGAGACUCAGUGAAAUUGAAAUCGCUGUUAAGAUGCAGCGUACCCGCGGCAAGACGGAAAGACCCCGUGCACCUUUACUAUAGCUUUACACUGAAUUUUGAAUAUGUUUGUGUAGGAUAGCUGGGAGGCUUUGAAGCGUGAUCGCUAGAUUGCGUGGAGCCAACCUUGAAAUACCAGCCUGAUAUGUUUGGAGUUCUAACCCAGGUCCAUUAUCUGGAUCGGGGACCGUGUAUGGUGGGUAGUUUGACUGGGGCGGUCUCCUCCUAAAGAGUAACGGAGGAGCGCAAUGGUACUCUCAGUACGGUCGGACAUCGUACGUUGCGUGCAAAGGCAUAAGAGUGCUUGACUGCGAGACAGACACGUCGAGCAGGGGCGAAAGCCGGUCUUAGUGAUCCGGUGGUUCUGUAUGGAAGGGCCAUCGCUCAACGAAUAAAAGGUACGCCGGGGAUAACAGGCUGAUUCCUCCCAAGAGUCCACAUCGACGGAGGAGUUUGGCACCUCGAUGUCGGCUCAUCACAUCCUGGGGCUGUAGCAGGUCCCAAGGGUAUGGCUGUUCGCCAUUUAAAGUGGUACGCGAGCUGGGUUUAGAACGUCGUGAGACAGUUCGGUCCCUAUCUGCCGUGGGCGUUGGAAAUUUGAGAAGAGCUGCUCCUAGUACGAGAGGACCGGAGUGGACGUAUCUCUGGUGUUCCGGUUGUCACGCCAGUGGCAUUGCCGGGUAGCUACAUACGGACGGGAUAACCGCUGAAAGCAUCUAAGCGGGAAGCCCCCUUCAAGAUUAGAUUUCCCUGGACCCUUGAGGUCCCUGAAGAGCCCUCGAAGACUACGAGGUUGAUAGGCUGGGUGUGGAAGUUCAGUAAUGGAUGAAGCUAACCAGUACUAAUUGCUCGUGAGGCUUGGCCAU